CCUACGGGUGGCAGCAGUGGGGAAUAUUGCACAAUGGAGGAAACCCUGAUGCAGCGACGCCGCGUGCAGGAAGAAGGAUUUCGGAUUGUAAAGCUCUUUCGACAGGGAAGAAGAAAGACGGUACCUGUCGAAUAAGCUCCGGCUAACUACGUGCCAGCAGCCGCGGUAAUACGUAGGGGGCAAGCGUUAUCCGGAUUUAGUGGGUGUAAAGGGUGCGUAGACGGCGGUGCAAGUUAGAUGUGAAAGCCCAGGGCUUAACUGAGGAACUGCAACUAAAACUACUUGCCUUGAGUGCUGGAGAGGAAAGUGGAAUUCCUAGUGUAGCGGUGAAAUGCGUAGAUAUUAGGAGGAACACCAGUGGCGAAGGCGACUUUCUGGACAGUAACUGACGUUGAGGCACGAAAGUGUGGGGAGCAAACAGGAUUAGAUACCCCUGUAGUC
rnacentral:rRNA from 1 species